ACACAGCAAGUCAGUGGCAGAGUAAGAAUUGGAACCCGGCUCUUCUGAAUCCCAGGCCUGGGGUCUUUUCUUCAGGCCACGUACACGAUAGUGGGUGGGAGUCCUUCAGAUGGAACUUCAAGCUGCUGUGAGCAUGCCUAAAAUGGGCUGCAAAUAUCUGACCCGACUUUCAUGGAUCGAACACCGACCGCUAACAGUCUUGGAAAAAACCUUGCUUCUGAAAUAAGGCCACGCUGCUUCUCUCGAGAUCACGCAGCAGAGAAGUGACGGAGCCAGGUUUUCCGCCAGAAGAACUCUCCACCCCCUCACCGACACCAAAUCACAUCUCUCCCCACCAUUUAACGUUCGAACACUAAAAUCAAGGAAAUAAAAGGUAGACGGGUCAGUUUUAGGGGCCGUCUUAAAAGGCAGAGAGAUGACCCCCAGAUCUAUAAAUUCUAAACUUUACAACCACGUGUAAUGGUCUACCAUGUCUUACUCUGCAAUUUCAGAUCUCAUUUGCUUUAGAGUUGUCAAUUUUAAUGUGAGGCCAUUAACUGGCAGUAGAACUUUUUUUUUUCCCCUUCGAGCCGUUGGAUCGGCAGUCGGCUUUCCCCAGGCCGUCUCUCACUUUGCGCCCGUGGCCCAUCCGAACUCGAGAUCGGACCGGCCGAAGUUCCGGGAGGGCGGUCACGGACAACGUACGAUAUCUCCGGGCGUUCCGGAGCAGACAUCAUUCUGGAAGGGAACAGAGAUGAAGAAUGUUCGGGGAUAAUUAUGCUAGUUUUUCAACCUAAAUACCUUCGAAUUUGCCAAGACAGCUCGCAGACUGAAGGGACACCGGCGAAAUUCACUGCGAUAGAUUUCUCCGUUCACAGUGACAGGACUAUCUCUCUCAAUAUUACUUAGCUAAUGAAGGAAUAGAUCUGUUGGAAAGUUCCUAAGAGGCUCAUUUUCUCGAGUACAGUAGUAAAAGUUAGCUGAUGAAUGACCUAAAACGCUUAAUGUUUCUACUUAUAACUUCUGAGCAGCAAGGCGUAUCCGGGAAAGUAGUGAAGAAGUUAUCUCGGGAGAAUCCAGUGUCCUUGUAGGUUGUCAGAUUCAAUGAGCCAGGUUUAUUUCAAAUGGCUCCUUAAAUGAACAUUUAUUUUGUGCCAGUAACACGUUUUUGAUUAACAACUCCUUUUGACUAAUUUGCUUCCCAAAACAGCCCA